rnacentral:lncRNA from 1 species
ACCCCUUAUUAAAGUUCACCUAUGAAAUCAAAAACGAUAAAAUGUCGUUCUUGGAUGUUGAUGUAAUUAAAGGUCAAAGAUUUACAACAUAUGGCAUUCUUGACCUCGAAAUACAUUUUAAAGAAACAAAUUCUUAUCUGUUUCUGCACAGAAAUAGCUGUCACUCACAGCAUGUAUUCAGAGGAUUUAUUAAAGGUGAAGCAAUACGGCAAAUUAGAAAUACAAGUGACCAUAACAAAUUAAUAAACAAUCUAACUAAUUUCAAAGUGAAAUUAUUAGAUAGGGGUUAUGAUAACGUGGAAAUAGAUGAUAGUAUUACUGAUGCUUUAUCAAUUGACCGUACUGAUUUAUUACAACAUACCAAAUCUAAAGAGAAGCAAAGUAUUCCGUUAGUUUUAAUAACUAAAUAUAAUCCAUAUAUACGUAAAAUAAAGAAACGUAUAAUGAAACACUGGCAUUUAUUACAGUUCGACGAAGACUGUGUACAAAUAUUCAAUACAGCACCAAUAGUUGCGUAUAGCAAAC